rnacentral:lncRNA from 1 species
AAUCUUUCGUGUCCCACCAGAACGAAGAACCAGCAACUUCCUCUAAAGGUUUUUACCUUUAACAUGUUUGACAUAUUCUAGUUACAGCUAUGUUUUCUUUCUCAAACAUUUUUUUUGAAUCAGAACUCCAACUGGAGACCCCAACAACACCUUAUUUCCACCAUUUUAGACAUACACAUAGAGGUGCAUAACUCUCAUAUAUGUUCAUACAUUCAUCACACCAAUGUGUAUAUGUUAUAUUGAUGUCAAAUUACUGGUACGAUUAUACAAUCUGUAUACAUAUAUAUAUGAAAGCAUAACUUUUUAUAAGAAAAGAAAAAGAAGGAUCUUGAACUUUGUGUUGCUGUGGAGUCGAGCCUGAGUUGUCGUGAGGGAGGGGCAUCGCUGCCGCUUCACCGGGGGUGGAGUCGCAGUGGCGGACCCGGCUGAAGAGAGGGAGAUUUGGAAACGGUGGCCUUCGGUGAGCUGCCGGAGGUCAGAGGGUGUAUCGGUUGAGGGAGAUAGACGCGGUCGGCGGCGGUGGUUGGAUCCUGCUGCUGGGCCACCGAAUCUGUGAACAGGGGAGGUUUGAGAGAGCAGGAGGGGGGGGGAGGGCUAAG